ACGAACGCUGGCGGCGUGCUUAACACAUGCCAGUCGAACGGAAAGGCCCUGCUUUUGUGGGGUGCUCGAGUGGCGAACGGGUGAGUAACACGUGAGUAACCUGCCCUUGACUUUGGGAUAACUUCAGGAAACUGGGGCUAAUACCGGAUAGGAGCUCCUGCUGCAUGGUGGGGGUUGGAAAGUUUCGGCGGUUGGGGAUGGACUCGCGGCUUAUCAGCUUGUUGGUGGGGUAGUGGCUUACCAAGGCUUUGACGGGUAGCCGGCCUGAGAGGGUGACCGGCCACAUUGGGACUGGGAUACGGCCCAGACUCCUACGGGAGGCAGCAGUGGGGAAUAUUGCACAAUGGGCGGAAGCCUGAUGCAGCAACGCCGCGUGCGGGAUGACGGCCUUCGGGUUGUAAACCGCUUUCGCCUGUGACGAAGCGUGAGUGACGGUAAUGGGUAAAGAAGCACCGGCUAACUACGUG
rnacentral:rRNA from 1 species